rnacentral:lncRNA from 1 species
AAUCAAUGAGAUCAUUCUAUUGGUUGGUUAAAAAGUAAAGUUCUAUACGAUAUUAGAAUGCAAGAACUCCAGAAAGAAGACAUUAUAGGGCAGCUAAGAGAUAAAGAGAGGAUUCUUCCCUCAUAAUCAAUGCUUUUAUUUUAGAGCUAGUUCUCCUUUUGCAUUCCGUCCUAGUCAAUGAAGCUUUAAGUAAAUCAGGCUACUUAGUCAAAUCGAGAGGACUAGUCUCAUGACAGGACUUUACCAGUCAUCUCUUCUGUGACAGUCUUUUUGUUUGUGUACAAGGGGAGAGUGAAAGACUCGACAGAUGACUACAUAGUCCGGGCUAUCGCUACCCCCAUGGUGUCACCUAAACGCAGCAUCGAAAGCCACCUGAGAAGGGGUUUUCAUACAGUCAAUUCCACCGUGGGAUUCCCACCUUUUUAUUCCAACCAAUCCGCACAAGACUUGAUACGUGGACUAAUUGACAGUACCGAGUUCUCUACAUGCCUCAACUAGGGAACUCUGUGGUCCCAGCUCCUAUGAUUCCUUUCCUCGUCAAUUCAAACCUUUUGAUUUGACUCAACAUUUUUUGAACCUGAUGAGAAUUAUUUUAUUGAAAAAAAAAGUGGAGGAUUUGACUGUUAUGAUCUCUUGGCCCGUGCCUCUGUAGUGUAGUGUACGUUGUUUGCCUUAAACUUCCAUGAACAGGAUAAGACCUGAGAUUCCUUUCGUUUUUGGUUGGGUGGUACUCUUCCAUCUAUCAAUCUACUCUUUCUGUCCGCCCUCCCCUUUUCGGUGAAUGAACCUCUUGGGAAGGUGGCCCCAAGGCUCAUCCUUCUGCUUGCGGUUUGAGAGUGAAAAACAGAGUUGGGGAGACCAGUAAAGCUUUCUGAUAGCUUUCUAAAAUAUAUUAUUUUAAUAGAAGCUAAGCUUUUAUACCGAAUCGGGUUUGUUGAUGGAAUCAUAGCCGGGCCGGAACUCUUGAUCUAUCAAUAGAGGGUGAGAACUCAAUCAGGAAGGACUGCUAGUCAUCACCGAGGGUAUGACCAAUGAACUGCUGCUGAGAGCGAUAGACUGUCUGACUGAGAGAACAAAACCGCAUUGGAUGAGUUCUCGUCGCACCGGAUCUUCUUUCUAUGCAAUUUGACGAUCUGGCUUUGUCAAAGCGGGGGAAGACACAAGAUCUUGUUUUGUCUCAGCCGCUCUCCCCAGGGCCGAAUCAGUUUGAUAUCCACCUGCUGCCACUAUCUUAGAUACGUUAUCAGACGUUAGCUUUCCUUUGUCCCAGUAGCUUCAUGCCACUCAAGCACAGCGAGGGGAUCGGAGAGGAGCGUAGCCACUCGACCAGCCCUUGAACCUAGCCCUCGGAGCGAGAGGGCAAAGGCCUUGCAAACGGCUGUUGUGGCGCGCGAAACUGGCCGUUUUUCGCCUUUUUUUUUAGCUUGGCAGGAGCCUUGCCCCUUUACCUCGUAACCUCGGAAAAGGGGUUCCACCAUUACGAAAGGAAUGGAAUUAGCAAUAGACUGAAUUUCAGCAUACUCUGCUUUAGCUUUAGAUGCAUUCUUCUUCUUUCCGUCCCAUACCUUAUUUCCUUUAUUUGGUGAAGUCACAGCCAAUGCCGAAAGUCAUGGUGAGGAAGCCACAUCCAGCACAUAUAGCCCUCCCACCUCUUUACCGCGUCCAAUCGUCUUCCCGGUCCUGAACGACACAGCAAGAAGGCGAACUCUUUCUAGUUUGACUGACUAAUAGAGAGCUUUUUAAGCCCACGGAGCGGUAAUAUCAGAUGCAGCAAACCUGACUUCCAAAAGACUUCCUCUACUGCAAAAUCUUUCCUUUGGAAUUGAGAAGAGGUGCCUUAGCCUUAACCCGAAGGAGAGUUAAUAAAGUUUCUUCAGUAUUCCAUCUGUCUAUUAGUUCAAGCGGAAUCCAAGACGAAUCUCCACACCAAGACGAUUACGCGCAUCUGAGAAGGCAAGUCUAUUCACUUGUUUACUGUAGAGAGGUUAGCGCUAACUAGUGUUAGAGAGCUUGCUGGAUGAGAGCAGAUCUGGGAUAUCUGUAAUAUUACUAUUACUACUGGGAUAACUUUCAUCGUUCUAUCCAAGGACGGAGCUAGUAGUUGAAUAGGAUUCGUGUGUGGGAGUCUCAAUUCAUUCCCUCAUGCGCAUCUAGUGCAGUGUCUCUGUAACGUUCAUAAACCCCCUCCCCUUCGGACUCCUGUUUAGACAUCUAGCAGCCAAGCCAGAAAAACAGCUUUGAUAACUAAGAAAGCAGUCUACGGGAUCCUUUAGCAAGAAUAGCAAUUGGAUUGAGAUGGAUGGUUGUGCUUUCAGUCUUUUCCAUGCCGAAUGGACAACUGCCUCUUAUGAGUGAUUGCUCUACUGCCAAGGCAGUGAAGACUGAUGAAUCCCCUUAAAAGAUAUCUCCAUAGUAAAUAGAAUCGUACAUCCAAGAAGCAAGACUGACAGAGCGAGCUGUAAAUGCCAUACCAUUGAUUUCAAUGCUUAUGGCAACACGAUCAAUCAUUCGUCAGCGGGCAGCCAUUCAUUGCCAGAAAUUAGUUGAAUCCAAGAUUCAAUUCCUGUGUCUCUUCCAUCCCCUUUAUCCUAUGGGUCGAUCUAUUUAUUGAUAAUGUUGAAGAAUCGAUGAAACGACCUUUGUUCCUUCCCUUUUCUUUACAAACAGAGCGUAGUCGGCCUUC